rnacentral:misc_RNA from 1 species
AAGUCGUAACAAGGUAACCGUAGGUGAACCUGCGGUUGGAUCAUUAGUGUGAUCUUUAUUGAAAACUCUAUGGAGGCCACCAGGAUAUAUUCUACUUGUUGGAAUUGUUACGCCCUGGGGAGUAUAAACAUGCUGCUGGUUAGCCAGUUUAAGCAGGCCUCUUUUAUUUUUGUGUGAACUGUCUUUAAUUGUCUUUGGGGAUUGCUGUGUGCUUGAUAUCUGGGGACCCUGGUCCUUGGAUUUCACGACGACUCUAUAGAUAGGGGUGAUUCCCAUUUAGUCUAUAGGCCAGUGCCCUGUUUUUUAUAUUCCAGUUUUGAUCCUUGUGGUUGAAAUGGUGAAUUUGAUUUUAUUAUCGUGAUUUAAUUUUGUAUUGUAAACAACUAUUGGCAAUGGAUCUCUUGGCUCAU